rnacentral:rRNA from 1 species
UACGGGGGGAGCAAGCGUUGUUCAGAUUUACUGGGCGUAAAGGGCGCGUAGGCGGCACGACAAGUCGCUUGUGAAAUCUCCGGGCUUAACUCGGAGCGGCCAAGCGAUACUGUCGCGCUAGAGUGCGGAAGGGGCAACUGGAAUUCUCGGUGUAGCGGUGAAAUGCGUAGAUAUCGAGAGGAACACCUGCGGCGAAGGCGGGUUGCUGGGCCGACACUGACGCUGAGGCGCGAAAGCUAGGGGAGCGAACGGGAUUAGAAACCCGUUGU